rnacentral:rRNA from 1 species
UGCAUAUCAAUAAGCGGAGGAAAAGAAACCAACAGGGAUUGCCUCAGUAACGGCGAGUGAAGCGGCAACAGCUCAAAUUUGAAAUCUGGCUCUUUUAGGGUCCGAGUUGUAAUUUGUAGAGGAUGCUUCGGCGGCGGCUCCGGUCUAAGUUCCUUGGAACAGGACGUCAUAGAGGGUGAGAAUCCCGUAUGUGAUCGGUUGCCUUUGCCAUGUGAAGCUCCUUCAACGAGUCGAGUUGUUUGGGAAUGCAGCUCUAAAUGGGAGGUAAAUUUCUUCUAAAGCUAAAUACUGGCCAGAGACCGAUAGCGCACAAGUAGAGUGAUUGAAAGAUGAAAAGCACUUUGGAAAGAGAGUCAAAAAGUACGUGAAAUUGUUGAAAGGGAAGCGCUUGCAACCAGACCUGCCUGCAGUUGCUCAUCCGGGCUUUCGCCCGGUGCACUCUUCUGCUGUCAGGCCAGCAUCAGUCCGGGCGGUCGGAUAAAGGCUUCGGGAAUGUAGCUCCUCUCGAGGAGUGUUAUAGCCCGUUGCGAAAUGCGGCCAGCCUGAACUGAGGUCCGCGCUUCGGCUAGGAUGCUGGCGUAAUGGUUGUAAGCGGCCCGUCUUGAAACACGGACCA